rnacentral:misc_RNA from 1 species
GUGAGUCAUCGAAUCUUUGAACGCACAUUGCGCCCUUUGGUAUUCCGAGGGGCAUGCCUGUCUGAGCGUCAGUGAAUCAUCAUCAGAUCAAUUAUAUUGUGUACAGAUAUACAAUUGUAUACUGAUGGAAUUGAGUGUGGGAAAUCAUUUCCCUCAUUUGAAAUGAAUCCAGGAUUAUUGGUGUAAUAAGAAUGUAAGUAUUUUUUUCGCCUCACAUAAUCUGUAUCGCAAACAUUGUCACUCGACAAAAAUCUUGACCUCAGAUCAGGUAGGGUUACCCGCUGAACUUAAGCAUAUCAA